UCUAAAAAUAAAAAGGUAAUACCCCUGGAGAAACCUAUACUCCUUGACGGCCUUUUUUCUUAUUAAAGGAAUUUGUUAUUUAAUCGAAACUACACGUUAAUUUUUUCUCCUCUUUCAAAGCUUUUAUACCGUCGUCUUAAGAAUUUACAUUAAAGCCCAUUCUAAAUUUAUUAUUAAAAUAAGUCAGAUCAAGGUGAAGCCUAUGGGGGAAGAGAAUAAUGAAUUAUUCAUAAAAAUAAUUUAUAGAUUUCCUAUUUUAAAAAAUUUAAAGAAUUAAGAUUUAAAAGUAUUAUUAAAUUAACAACUUAUAAAGAGCCAGUAAAAAAAGGUGC
rnacentral:rRNA from 1 species